rnacentral:rRNA from 1 species
GUCGAGAAUCUUUCACAAUGGGGGCAACCCUGAUGGAGCGACGCCGCGUGGAGGAUAAGGUCUUCGGAUUGUAAACUCCUGUCAUGCGUGAACAAGGUUGCUUGGUUAAUACCUGGGCAAAUUGAUGGUAACGCAAGAGGAAGAGACGGCUAACUCUGUGCCAGCAGCCGCGGUAAUACAGAGGUCUCAAGCGUUGUUCGGAAUCACUGGGCGUAAAGGGUGCGUAGGUGGCGUGGUAAGUCAGGUGUGAAAGCCCGGGGCUCAACCUCGGAACUGCAUCCGAUACUGCCAUGCUAGAGUACUGGAGAGGUGACUAGAAUUCUCGGUGUAGCAGUGAAAUGCGUAGAUAUCGAGAGGAAUACCAAAGGCGUAGGCAGGUCACUGGACAGUUACUGACACUGAGGCACGAAGGCCAGGGGAGCGAACGGGAUUAGAAACCCGUGUAGUCC